AUAUCAUUGUUUUUAAUGAAAUAAUAUAUAUAUAUAUUUGUGAAAUAGUUAUAAAAUAUUGUUAAAAGAAAAAAAAAAACGUUUAGCAGCUCUUCAGAAUUAGCAGGAUAAUAAUAAACAGUGUACACAGAUAACAGGGCCGACGUAUUCAAUGGUAAAUGUACUGUACAUUCUGUUUUUUUUUCUCCUCUGAUUCCUACAUACAGGUGCAAAGCCAAGAACAGAACAAAGAUACACGGCUAGAGGACAGAAAACAAAGAUGCCUACUCUAAAGGAUUGCUAUGCAUGCAGGGAAAAAAUCGGAGUUGCCAGCAAAACAUGUCAGCACUGUAGGGCCAAACACCCAUAUAAGGAAUUGCUUGAAAAAAAAAGAAACAGCUUUCCCAGGAAUGGAAAGCGAGACAAAAAAAAAACAGCAGUGUAAACAAAGUUUACGAUGCAACAAAUCUACUACUCCACAAGUGGGAACUUUUAGAGAGGUUCCCAGUGCUACUUCUUGCUAGGAGAACCUCAAAUGGAUUUUCAGCUGAAUGCUUCUGUCCAUGGAAUUGGGGACAGAAGAUAGUCAAGAUGCUUUUCUGACAAUAAAGCGACUGUAUGAAAGUCUUCUCAAUGUGGCUAUUGCAGAUAAAGAAGCAAGCAGCAUGGGAGAGAGUUCUGCCACAAACAGCACAGAGACUCCACCAGCAGACUCCACACAACAGAUCACCUGUAAUGUGUCUAACAAAGAUAAAGAAGCAAGCAGCAUGGGAGAGAGUUCUGCCACAAACAGCACAGAGACAGAGACUUCACCAGAAGACUCCACAGCAGACCCAGCUUCAGAACUCACCCCUGAGUCUGACACUGUUUUACUUCCUCUUGCAUCUUCCUCCUUGGCUUCUCUUGUUUCCUUUACCACCCCGUCUCUUAUGUCUUUAUCCAUUGCUUCUCCAGUGUCCCCCCUGACUCAUCCUGCUUUUGUGUCCUCUCAGUCUAGUCCUAUAUCUUCUUCCUCUGCUUCUCCUCUGCCACCAGCCUCUAACCUUUCUACCCUUUCUAAACUAUCCACUGAGCAAGGCAGUUCAGGCCCAGUAGUUUCCUCACGGAAAAAAAAGACAAAUAAAGAGGAAAGCAGACCCUAAAGGUAUGUGUGGAUUUAUUGAUUUUAGGAUUUUGUGUUUGAUUUUGCACUGUUAUUCAGCUGAAAGAUUAGUUUCUCAUUGUUUUUUUUUUUUUUUUUUUUUAAGGACUGGGUUUGAAUUAUAUAAAGUACAGGUUAUUCUCAAUAAAUUUGAAUGUUGUGGAAAAGUUCAUUUAUUUCAGUAAUUCAACUCAAAUUGUGAAACUUGUGUAUUAAAUUAAUUCAAUGCAUUCAGACUGAAGUAGUGUAAGUCUUUGGUUAUUUUAAUUGUGAUGAUUUUGACUCACAUUUAACAAAAACCCACCAAUCUCAACAAAUUUAAAUUCUUCAUAAGACCAAUAAUAAAAAAAAAAAACUAAUAGUGAAUUGUUGGCCUUCUGGAAAGUAUGUUCAUUUACUGUACACGUACUCAAUACUUGAUAGGGGCACCUUUUUUUUUCUUUAAUUACUGUCUCAGUUCAGCGUGACAUGGAGGUGAUCAGUUUGUGGCACUGCUGAGGGGGUCUGAAGCACAGGUUUCUUUGACAGUGACCUUCAGUUCAUCUGCUUUGUUUGGUCUUGUUUCUCAUCUUCCUCUAGCCCAUAGAUUCUCCCUGGGGUUCAGGUCUGGUAACCAACACCAUGGGCAUUUAACCAACUUUUGGUAUUUUUGGCAGUGUAGGCAGGUGACAAAUUCUAAUGGAAAAUGAAAUCAGUAUCUUCAAAAAGCUGGUCAGCAGAAGGAAACAUGAAGUUUUUGUUAAAUGUGAGCCAAAUCAUUGCAACUAAAAGAACCAAAGACUUAAAUUCAAAGCACACAGACUGAAGUAGUUUAUUUAAUAUACAAGUUUCACAAUUUGAGUUGAAUUAUUGAAAUAAAUUAACUUUUCCAUGACAUUCUAAUUUAUUGAGAAAUACUUGUACAUAUUGUAAUAUUUUCUUUUGCACAUAUUGCAACAUUUACUUAUUUUAAUUUUUUUGGAAAGCAAGGUGUUCCGUGUUAUGCCUAUAAAGUACCCAAGCAUUGUCCAUAUUGUCGUCCUCUUGUCAAUCUGUUUGCUUCUAU
ensembl:lncRNA